CUCGAAGACCGCCCGAGGGCGGGAAGCGGAAGGCUUCAAAGGAAACCGGGCAUGAAAGGAGCGGACCAAAGAGGGAGCGUGCACAUCAGAGCUCGAAACCCAGGACCGCUCCUCAGGACCGUACCCCUUCCAAUCCACCAAAUAUUGCAGCCGGCCCCUAGAAACACGAGAGUCGAGAAGAGCGGCCACCUCGUAUACAUCGUCAGAGACAGCGCGAGGGGAAACGGGCCGCCCGAGGGGACGAGAGAACCGGUUACACAGCAAGGGCUUCAAAAGCGAGACGUGAAACGUGUUCGGGACACGCAUGGAAGGAGGCAGAUCAAGGGAGUAGGA